rnacentral:rRNA from 1 species
GGCUCAGGACGAAUGCUGGCUGCGUGCUUAACACAUGCAAGUCGAACGGUGAUGGAGGGCUUGCCCUCCGGAUCAGUGGCGAACGGGUGAGUAACACGUGGGCAACCUGCCCCUCACUCUGGGAUAACACCGGGAAACCGGUGCUAAUACCGGAUACGACCAGGCGCGACAUCUCGCCUGGUGGAAAGAACUUCGGUGAGGGAUGGGCCCGCGGCCUAUCAGCUUGUUGGUGAGGUAACGGCUCACCAAGGCGACGACGGGUAGCCGGCCUGAGAGGGCGACCGGCCACACUGGGACUGAGACACGGCCCAGACUCCUACGGGAGGCAGCAGUGGGGAAUAUUGCGCAAUGGGCGAAAGCCUGACGCAGCGACGCAGCGUGAGGGACGAAGGCCUUCGGGUUGUAAACCUCUUUCAGCGGGGACGAAGCGAAAGUGACGGUACCCGCAGAAGAAGCACCGGCUAACUACGUGCCAGCAGCCGCGGUAAUACGUAGGGUGCAAGCAUUGUCCGGAUUUAUUGGGCGUAAAGAGCUCGUAGGCGGCUUGUCACGUCGGGUGUGAAAACUUGGGGCUCAACCCCAAGCCUGCACUCGAUACGGGCUAGCUAGAGUGUUGCAGGGGAGACUGGAAUUCCUGGUGUAGCGGUGAAAUGCGCAGAUAUCAGGAGGAACACCGGUGGCGAAGGCGGGUCUCUGGGCAACUACUGACGCUGAGGAGCGAAAGCGUGGGGAGCGAACAGGAUUAGAUACCCUGGUAGUCCACGCCGUAAACGUUGGGCGCUAGGUGUGGGGAACCUUCCACGUUCUCCGUGCCGUAGCUAACGCAUUAAGCGCCCCGCCUGGGGAGUACGGCCGCAAGGC